GCUCACUGAUGUAAUUAUUAAAGAGCUGCGGUAUAUUGACUGUACAAAGGUAGCGUAAUCAUUAGUUUUUUAAUUGUAAACUUGUAUGAAUGGUUUGACGAAAUAAAUAUUGUCUCUGUUAUUAAAAUAAAACUUAACUUUUAAGUGAAAAGGCUUAAAUUUUUCAAAGUGACGAUAAGACCCUAAAAGCUUUAUAUUUUAUAUUUUUUUUUUUAAAAUUAAUUUAAUAUUAAUUAAAAUGUUUUUAAUUAGUUGGGGCGACGUAUAAAUAAUUUUAUUAACUUUAUAUUUUUUAAAACAUCUAUGUAUGAAUAUAAUAAAAGAUCCUUAUUAAAGAUUAAAGCAAAGUUACUUUAGGGAUAACAGCGUAAUUUUUUUUGAAAGUUCAUAUCGAAAAAAGAAAUUGCGACCUCGAUGUUGAAUUAAAAUUUCUAUUUAAUGUAGCAGUUAAAUAAAAAGGUCUGUUCGACCUUUAAUUUUUUACG
rnacentral:rRNA from 1 species